UCGAGCACACCGAGUGCAUCGAGUGCUCCGCUCUGCAUGGGCAUCAAGUGUCCGGGGGCAGUUGCAGUUGCACUGGCUGUUGCUGUUGCAUUGGCCCAACAUCGGACCAAAUGAAGCCAUUAGUCGGCGCGGAGUUGUGGCCCAAAUAUAGGCACACUUGCCGGGAGUUGGCAUCUCGCGCCGGACUGCUCACUCCCGAUUUUCCACUCCCUGGUGACGACGGGCGAUCUCGAGUUUCAUGGAUCUCCCAGAAGAAAGUUUUCUCUGAAUUGCCAACCUUUUGCAUGAAAUCUGUUUCAAGACCAUUAUAGUAUCUCUUAUGG
ensembl:ncRNA lncRNA:CR46416 long non-coding RNA:CR46416